UACGUAGGGGGCAAGCGUUGUCCGGAUUUAUUGGGCGUAAAGAGCGUGUAGGCGGUUUGGUAGGUCCGCUGUGAAAACUCGAGGCUUAACCUCGAGACGUCGGUGGAAACUGCUUGGCUAGAGCCCGGAAGAGGAGAGUGGAAUUCCUGGUGUAGCGGUGAAAUGCGCAGAUAUCAGGAAGAACACCCGUGGCUAAGGCGGCUCUCUAGUACGGUACUGACGCUGAGACGCGAAAGCGUGGGGAGCGAACAGG
rnacentral:rRNA from 1 species